GGCUCAAUGGAAAUGAGUGCCUCUGGCUGUCGAAGUUUAGGGCAUCAAGAGCCAUCAAAGCCGUGAAACUCAGAGUCCCCAGAUUCGACAUACACAAGGCACAGCAUUGUGAUCCUGAGCAAGGAAGAUACUUUCCAGAAAGCAAGAUCGAAACUAAGGAAAGCGGAGGAUACUUAUAAUGUUGCAACAUCAACUGACCAAGUGGCGCUGUGUCAAAGGAGAGUAGUGAUCAUCCAACUGCAAGCAGCUCUGUGUGCCCGCCCUCAUCAAGCCCUCCAGGUAUGC